rnacentral:rRNA from 1 species
AUUGAACGCUGGCGGCAGGCCUAACACAUGCAAGUCGAACGAGUGGCGGACGGGUGAGUAAUGUCUGGGAAACUGCCCGAUGGAGGGGGAUAACUACUGGAAACGGUAGCUAAUACCGCAUACCAUCGGAUGUGCCCAGAUGGGUUUAGCUAGUAGGGGGGGUAACGGCACACCUGGGCGACGAUCCCUACUUGGUCUGAGAGGAUGACCAGCCACACUGGAACUUAGACACGGUCCAGACUCCUACGGGAUGCAGCAGUGGGGAAUAUUGCACAAUGGGCGCAAGCCUGAUGCAGCCAUGCCGCGUGUAUGAAGAAGGCCUUCGGGUUGUAAAGUACUGUCAGCGAGGAGGCGUUACUCGCAGAAGAAGCACCGGCUAACUCCGUGCCAGCAGCCGCGGUAAUUC